UACGUAGGGUGCAAGCGUUAAUCGGAAUUACUGGGCGUAAAGCGUGCGCAGGCGGUUUUGUAAGUCUGACGUGAAAUCCCCGGGCUCAACCUGGGAACUGCGUUGGAGACUGCAAGGCUGGAGUCUGGCAGAGGGGGGUAGAAUUCCACGUGUAGCAGUGAAAUGCGUAGAGAUGUGGAGGAAUACCGAUGGCGAAGGCAGCCCCCUGGGAUGAUACUGACGCUCAUGCACGAAAGCGUGGGGAGCAAACAGG
rnacentral:rRNA from 1 species